rnacentral:rRNA from 1 species
AUUGAACGCUGGCGGCAUGCCUUACACAUGCAAGUCGAACGGCAGCACGGGUGCUUGCACCUGGUGGCGAGUGGCGAACGGGUGAGUAAUACAUCGGAACGUACCUUAUCGUGGGGGAUAACGCAGCGAAAGUUGCGCUAAUACCGCAUACGCCCUGAGGGGGAAAGCGGGGGACCGUAAGGCCUCGCGCGAUUAGAGUGGCCGCUGUCUGAUUAGCUUGUUGGUGAGGUAAAAGCUCACCAAGGCGAUGAUCAGUAGCUGGUCUGAGAGGACGAUCAGCCACACUGGGACUGAGAGACGGCCCAGACUCCUACGGGAGGCAGCAGUGGGGAAUUUUGGACAAUGGGGGCAACCCUGAUCCAGCAAUGCCGCGUGAGUGAAGAAGGCCUUCGGGUUGUAAAGCUCUUUUGUCAGGGAAGAAACAGCAGCUCUAACACAGUCUGCGAAUGACGGUACCUGAAGAAUAAGCACCGGCUAACUACGUGCCAGCCGCCGCAGUAA